CUUCUCCAAUCAUCGACAGCAAUCACAGCACAGAAGCCCCCUCUGGACAGACCCCUAAUAGUCUAAUACUGGGGACAGUAGACAGUGACACUACAGAACAUCUUCUACAGUGAACGAAAAUCCUGCAGGCAGUUCUGCUGUCCCAACCCACUGGACUAGUUAUUCUCACUUCAGUAGACUGGCGUAACUUCCCUCCUCAUUUACUAACGC